GAUGAACGCUGGCGGCGUGCCUAAUACAUGCAAGUCGAACGGACAGACGAGGAGCUUGCUCCUCUGACGUUAGCGGCGGACGGGAGAGUAACACGUGUAUAACCUACCUAUAAGACUGGGAUAACUACGGGAAACCGGAGCUAAUACCGGAGAAUAUAUUGCACCGCAUGGUUCAAUGGUUAAUUACGGUGUUGCUGUCACUUAUAGAUGCAUCUGCGCCGCAUUAGCUAGUUGGUAAGGUAACGGCUUACCACGGGGAGGAUGCGUGGCCGACCGGAGAGGCGGAUAGGCCACACUGGAACUGAGACACGGUCCAGACUCCGACGGGAGGCCGCAGUAGGGAAUCUUCGGCAAUGGGAGAAAGGAUGACGGAGCAACGCGGAGUGAGUUAUGAAGGCAUUCGGAUCGGAAAAAUCUGUUAUUAGGGAUGAACAAAUGUGUAAGUAACUAUGCACGUCUUGACGGUAACGAAUCAAAAAGCCACGGCUAACUACGUG
rnacentral:rRNA from 1 species